AUCAGGUGCUCCUUGAUUCUGAUUGGAGCUCCAUGUGUGUGAAGGAUGAUGAAGCCCUUUGUCUGGAUUCAAGAACCUAUGGAAACAUUGCUAGGUUCAUCAACCAUAGAUGUUAUGAUGCCAAUUUAAUUGAGAUCCCAAUUGAGGUGGAGACCCAAAGCAUCACUACUAUCGUCUCGCAUUAUUUACUGCUAGAAAAAUACAGGCCUUGGAAGAGCUGACAUGGGAUUAUGGUAUUGAGUUUGACGACCAUGAUAAUUCUCUCAAUCCAUUCCAGUGUAUAUGUGGCAGUAAGUUCUGUCGAAACGUAAAACGCUCGAAAAGUAAGUCUCUCUCUCUCUCUCUCUCUCUCACAGAGGAUAAUGAAGAUCUAAUAAAGGAUAAACCCUACCUAUAGAAUCAGCAUUCCUUGUCCUAAAGGAACAUCUAAGUAUAGAGCCCCCCAAAUAGGUAUACAAAAUGUAAUUUCUGGUGAUAAUACGAGCAACAACUAAUGUUCUACUUACCAAUGGUUAUUCU